rnacentral:tRNA from 1 species
GCCUUCGUGGUGUAAUGGUCAGCACGCUCAACGAGUAAAUGAGAAGUCCGUGGUUCGAUUCCCGUCAAGUGCA